rnacentral:rRNA from 1 species
UACAGAGGUCUCAAGCGUUGUUCGGAUUCAUUGGGCGUAAAGGGUGUGUAGGUGGCGCCGUAAGUCGGGGUGUGAAAUUUCGGAGCUUAACUCCGAAACUGCAUUCGAUACUGCGGUGCUUGAGGACUGGAGAGGAGACUGGAAUUUACGGUGUAGCAGUGAAAUGCGUAGAUAUCGUAAGGAAGACCAGUGGCGAAGGCGGGUCUCUGGACAGUUCCUGACACUGAGACACGAAGGCCGGGGGAGCAAACGGGG